rnacentral:rRNA from 1 species
UGGGGAAUUUUGGACAAUGGGGGAAACCCUGAUCCAGCCAUCCCGCGUGUGCGAUGAAGGCCUUCGGGUUGUAAAGCACUUUUGGCAGGAAAGAAACGUCAUGGGUUAAUACCCCGUGAAACUGACGGUACCUGCAGAAUAAGCACCGGCUAACUACGUGCCAGCAGCCGCGGUAAUACGUAGGGUGCAAGCGUUAAUCGGAAUUACUGGGCGUAAAGCGUGCGCAGGCGGUUCGGAAAGAAAGAUGUGAAAUCCCAGAGCUCAACUUUGGAACUUCAUUUUUAACUACCGGGCUUGAGUGUGUCAGAGGGAGGUGGAAUUCCGCGUGUAGCAGUGAAAAGCGUAGAUAUGCGGAGGAACACCGAUGGCGAAGGCAGCCUCCUGGAAUAACACUGACGCUCAUGCACGAAAGCGUGGGGAGCAAACAGG